rnacentral:rRNA from 1 species
GACGAACGCUGGCGGCGUGCCUAAUACAUGCAAGUCGAGCGGACCUCUUCGGAGGUUAGCGGCGGACGGGUGAGUAACACGUGGGCAACCUGCCUGUAAGACUGGGAUAACUCCGGGAAACCGGAGCUAAUACCGGAUAGUAUCUUGAACCGUAUGGUUCAAGUUGGAAAGACGGUUUCGGCUGUCCAUUACAGAUGGACCCGCGGCGCAUUAGCUAGUUGGUGAGGUAAUGGCUCACCAAGGCAACGAUGCGUAGCCGACCUGAGAGGGUGAUCGGCCACACUGGGACUGAGACACGGCCCAGACUCCUACGGGAGGCAGCAGUAGGGAAUCUUCCGCAAUGGACGAAAGUCUGACGGAGCAACGCCGCGUGAGUGAUGAAGGUUUUCGGAUCGUAAAACUCUGUUGUUAGGGAAGAACAAGUGCGAGAGUAACUGCUCGCACCUUGACGGUACCUAACCAGAAAGCCACGGCUAACUACGUGCCAGCCGCCGCGGUAAAAC